AUGCUCUAUAGUCACGUCCUUCAUACAGAGUCUUGUGUCCUUCUGUAUCAUUUUUAUUUAGUAAGGCUCUGCAUUCGUUCAACUACUGAACUGUAUCAUUCAAUCUGCCAUACAGGACUUUAUAAAGAUGACCACAGAACGUGUAUGUGUUUCCAUUGGAGUGCUGCUGUUUGCCUUUUUGUCUUUCUCCAUUGUUCAAGGUCACACCACCAACCGGCCGAGUAUGAACCCAGCGGAGGGCAGUGGAGCUGGUUUCAACGUGGGCGGUCUGAAGUCUGUCCUGCAGAACGCCGUGUCCCCAGCCUUCGGCGCCACCAUCAUCAUCAUCAUCACUGUUAUCGUGUCAGGGAGCGCCUACCUCUGUUUCCUCAAGUACAUCUGUGCAGGCUGCUGCAAACCCACACAGGUGGCCCCGGUCACACAACUAGACCCAAACAAGAGUGAGGAGCAGGUGUAGCGGAGUCUGUCAAGUUUCAAGUUUUUAUUGUCACGUGUACUAGUACAAUGAAAUUCCUUUCUUGCUUGUUCUUUUCCAACAAUGCAGUAAUCAAUAUCAGUAAUACUAUAAAAUGAAUUUUAAAAAGUUAAGUGGAACAAAAUCACAAAAUAAGAACACAAGAAAGUAAGUAAGCUAUAUACAGGGUCAGUUCCAGAGUUAGUGCCAAUACUAUUGACAAUGUGUAGGGCAGUGGCUACGCAUCAUUCAGGGCAGAGACCCAACUGUUUGGAGGCACCCCAUUUUUUUGCCUGUUUUGCAUGUUAUUUUGGCAUUAAUAAGUGUCACAUAUCAGUUUGCAAACAAUGUAAAACAUAAAUAAUCAUUGAGUUAAUAAAGCCGCAUACCAACAUGGUUUCUUUUUUGCUUUCUUGAGUAAGGCAGCUCCAAAAUGCAGGGGUUUUAGCUAGAGGUCGACCGAUUAAUUGGAAUGGCCGAUUAAUUAGGGCCGAUUUCAAAUUUUCAUAACAAUCGGUAAUCAGCAUUUUUUUGGACACCGAUUAUGGCCGAUUACCUUGCACUCCACGAGGAGACUGCGUGGCAGGCUGACUACCUGUUAUGCGAGUGCAGUAAAGAGCCAAGGUAAGGUGCUAGCUAAACUCAUAAAAAACAAUCAAUCUGAACA
rnacentral:lncRNA from 1 species